CGGUGACUUUAGUGAAAUCCUCUCCAGUCAAAAACACCAGUGAGUGGUUAUACAAUGAGUUGACGACAAAGUUGGGAAAGCAUUGAAGAAAUUUGUAGAGAAGGAAGCAAAGGUGAGAGAGAAAGAUGAUUGCAAUGGAAAGGAAGGUGUCUGGCAAAGGAGGGACCAAUUCUUCAUAUUAUUUGCACUGAACUGCUGCUUGUGACAUAAUUAAGACCCAGGCAGUGGCCUCAUUAUUCCCAACCAGACUGAAGCAAUGUUUGACUGCCUCUUCAGAACAUGCCUGUAAGCAAGAAAGGGACAGAUUACAUCAUCCGGUUGGCGUUAAACAACAGAGCAGUUUUCAGAAUUCAAUUACGAUGUCUCUUGGAGUGGAUUUCUAUGGAUUUAUCUUCAUUAGGAUUUACUCAACUUCUUGAAUCUGUAUAUUUAUGUCCUUCACCACAUUUGUCUUUCAGGCUCCCAAACCAGUUUGCAUAUUGAGCUUCCCAGAACUAUUUUCAACCACCUGGAGCAGCUGAGCAUGAAGAACACCAUUCUCGAUGUCUUUAGCUACAAAUUGCUAACCGCCCCAAACCACCAACAUCCCAAGAAGUCAGUAAGGACAAGAAUAUCCUGUUGUGAGGACUGGUGGAACUGGACUUUGCUGGGGACCAACUCGCUAACCCAUCAAUGAAGUACGAGUCUAGUCUUUUGCCUGAUGACUGAAUCUCAAGCCCGUCUAUGAAGGGCAAACCCAGCCUCACCUCAUCCAGCACCAAUGAACUCUUCCUUAAUACAACUCACCUCCUCCUCCCCCUUUCCCAUAAAAACCAUAAGCCCCUCUCCUGUAAUCGGGACACUAUUUGAGCUUCUAGCUGAAUCUGUGUCUCUUGAAUUGCAAUUCUAAUUCCUCACAGAAAUUUCUGUUGUUUGAAUUGUAGUGGAUUUUUCCUCUGUCGACACUUUCUGGCUGUGUGACAUGGGCAACUCAAUUAACCUCUCUG
rnacentral:lncRNA from 1 species